rnacentral:rRNA from 1 species
AGUGAACGCUGGCGGCGUGCCUAAUACAUGCAAGUCGAACGAGCGGCGGACGGGUGAGUAAUGCCUAGGAAUCUGCCUGGUAGUGGGGGAUAACGUCCGGAAAAGGGCGCUAAUACCGCCUUCUCUCCGAUGAGCCUAGGUCGGAUUAGCUAGUUGGUGGGGUAAAGGCCUACCAAGGCGACGAUCCGUAACUGGUCUGAGAGGAUGAUCAGUGACACUGGAACUGAGACACGGUCCAGACUCCGACGGGAGGCAGCAGUGGGGAAUAUUGGACAAUGGGCGAAAGCCUGAUCCAGCCAUGCCGCGUGUGUGAAGAAGGUCUUCGGAUUGUAAAGCACUUUAAGUGGGGAGGCGUUACCAACAGAAUAAGCACCGGCUAACUUCGUGCCAGCAGCCGCGGUAAUAC